rnacentral:rRNA from 1 species
GCGACAUCAGUCAAGCGAGACU